CAAGUACUCCCUCCGUCCGAAAUUACUUGUCAUCAAAAUGGAUGUGUCUAGAACUAAAAUACAUCUAGAUACAUCCAUUUCAAUGACAAGUAUUUUCAAACGGAGGGAGUACAAG
rnacentral:pre_miRNA from 1 species